rnacentral:tRNA from 1 species
GCCGCCGUACCCCAAUUGGCAGAGGGAGCCGGCUCAGACCCGGCGCAGUGUAGGUUCGAGUCCUACCGGCGGUA